rnacentral:rRNA from 1 species
GAAUGGCCGCGGUACUCUGACCGUGCUAAGGUAGCGUAAUCAGUUGGCUUUUAAAUGGAGUCAGGAAUGAAUGGGAUAACCUGGUCUAGCUGUCUCCUUACUAUUUAAUCAAAUUUACUGACCAAGUGAAAAAGCUUGAAUUAGGAAAAGGGACGAGAAGACCCUUAGAAUUUUACUAAAAGUACGAAUCAGUUCUUAUUGUUGUUUUGUUGGGGUGACAAAGAAAAUAUUAAAACUUUCUUUAAAAAUACCAGCCGAGUUCACUAAGUAAGAAUAAAUUACCUGAGGGAUAACAGCAUAAUUCUACAGUUGAGUUUGUGACCUCGAUGUUGGACUAGGAAGCUGGUGGGC